rnacentral:rRNA from 1 species
UACGGGGGGGAGCAAGCGUUGUUCGGAUUUACUGGGCGUAAAGGGCGCGUAGGCGGUCAGCACAAGUCAGUUGUGAAAUCUCCGGGCUUAACUCGGAAAGGUCAACUGAUACUGUGCGACUAGAGUGCAGAAGGGGCAACUGGAAUUCUCGGUGUAGCGGUGAAAUGCGUAGAUAUCGAGAGGAACACCUGCGGCGAAGGCGGGUUGCUGGGCUGACACUGACGCUGAUGCGCGAAAGCUAGGGGAGCAAACGGG